UGAGGAAUAUUGGUCAAUGGACGGAAGUCUGAACCAGCCAAGUAGCGUGCAGGAUGACGGCCCUCCGGGUUGUAAACUGCUUUUAGUUGGGAAUAAAAAGAGGGACGUGUCCCUUCUUGUAUGUACCUUCAGAAAAAGGACCGGCUAAUUCCGUGCCAGCAGCCGCGGUAAUACGGAAGGUCCAGGCGUUAUCCGGAUUUAUUGGGUUUAAAGGGAGCGUAGGCGGAUUAUUAAGUCAGUGGUGAAAGACGGUGGCUCAACCAUCGUUAGCCAUUGAAACUGGUAGUCUUGAGUGCAGACAGGGAUGCUGGAACUCGUGGUGUAGCGGUGAAAUGCUUAGAUAUCACGAUGAACUCCGAUCGCGAAGGCAGGUGUCCGGGCUGCAACUGACGCUGAGGCUCGAAAGUGUGGGUAUCAAACAGGAUUAGAUACCCUGGUAGUCCACACAGUAAACGAUGUAUACUCGCGGUUUGCGAUACAAUGUAAGCCGCCAAGCGAAAGCAUUAAGUAUACCACCUGGGGAGUACGCCGGCAACGGUG
rnacentral:rRNA from 1 species